CUGGCGGCGUGCUUAACACAUGCAAGUCGAACGAUGAUGCCCAGCUUGCUGGGCGGAUUAGUGGCGAACGGGUGAGUAACACGUGAGUAACCUGCCCUUGACUUCGGGAUAACUCCGGGAAACCGGGGCUAAUACCGGAUAUGAGCCGUCCUCGCAUGGGGGUGGUUGGAAAGUUUUUCGGUCAGGGAUGGGCUCGCGGCCUAUCAGCUUGUUGGUGGGGUGAUGGCCUACCAAGGCGACGACGGGUAGCCGGCCUGAGAGGGCGACCGGCCACACUGGGACUGAGACACGGCCCAGACUCCUACGGGAGGCAGCAGUGGGGAAUAUUGCACAAUGGGCGAAAGCCUGAUGCAGCGACGCCGCGUGAGGGAUGAAGGCCUUCGGGUUGUAAACCUCUUUCAGCAGGGAAGAAGCGCAAGUGACGGUACCUGCAGAAGAAGCGCCGGCUAACUACGUGCCAGCAGCCGCGGUAAUACGUAGGGCGCAAGCGUUGUCCGGAAUUAUUGGGCGUAAAGAGCUCGUAGGCGGUUUGUCGCGUCUGGUGUGAAAACUCGAGGCUCAACCUCGAGCUUGCAUCGGGUACGGGCAGACUAGAGUGCGGUAGGGGAGACUGGAAUUCCUGGUGUAGCGGUGGAAUGCGCAGAUAUCAGGAGGAACACCGAUGGCGAAGGCAGGUCUCUGGGCCGCAACUGACGCUGAGGAGCGAAAGCAUGGGGAGCGAACAGGAUUAGAUACCCUGGUAGUCCAUGCCGUAAACGUUGGGCACUAGGUGUGGGGCUCAUUCCACGAGUUCCGUGCCGCAGCAAACGCAUUAAGUGCCCCGCCUGGGGAGU
rnacentral:rRNA from 1 species